GCUUCUGUGGUGUAGUGGUUAUCACGUGCGCCUCACACGCGCGGGGUCCUCGGUUCGAUCCCGGGCGGAAGCA
rfam:Stegodyphus mimosarum contig98064, whole genome shotgun sequence.